GAUGAAGAACGCAGCGAAAUGCGAUAAGUAAUGCGAAUUGCAGAAUUUCCGUGAGUCAUCGAAUCUUUGAACGCACAUUGCGCCCAUUGGUAUUCCGGGGGGCAUGCCUGUCCGAGCGUCAUUGCUGCCCUCAAGCACGGCUUGUGUGUUGGGCCUCCGUCCUCCUCCCGGGGGACGGGCCCGAAAGGCAGCGGCGGCACCGCGUCCGGUCCUCGAGCGUAUGGGGCUUCGUCACCCGCUCUUGUAGGCCCGGCCGGCGCUUGCCGACACAUCAAUCUUUUUUCCAGGUUGACCUCGGAUCAGGUAGGGAUACCCGCUGAACUUAAGCAUAUCAAUAAGCGGAGGA
rnacentral:misc_RNA from 1 species